GGCUUACUACAGCCCCUGACCCCCAGCCCACAUGUCCUGAUGACCCCCCCUCCCCUCCACACUCUCCCCCCACCGCAGCCACCCAGUCACCCCUCCAGAGUCUUGGGGAUGGAGACAUCUCCAGCCAUUGUUCCUCCUUGAACCACUAAUGCCUAGCGUUUCUACCCAGAAGGCCACUUCCUCUUGCCCCCACCAGGUUGCUCACAGAUUUAGGGCCACAGCUGACCACGGUCAAAUAGAACCUUCUCCUGCAGAGGUUUGGGGGUGCGGCUGCUGUCACAGCCCUUCAUGAUUACAUGACACGGGCACAAACCCCCUUUUAUUUUAUUUUUUUUGAGACAGAGUCUUGCUCUGUCACCCAGUCUGGAGUGCAGUGGCGUGAUCUCAGCUCAUCACAACCUCCGUCACCCAGUCUGGAGUGCAGUGGCGUGAUCUCAGCUCAUCACAACCUCCACUUUCCAGGAGAAUCACUUGAACCCAGGAGGUGGAGGUUGCAGUGAGCUGAGAUUGCGCCAUUGCACUCCAGCCUGGGCAACAAAGUGAUACUCCAUCUCAAAACAACAAAUAACAAAAAAACACACAAGAGAUGACCGUGGGAACGUAAGCCUGUAUCCUCCACCCUCAAAUCCGAGCGAGUUUCUAGGAGGCUUGGUGAGACCAUGAACCUUCUGUGUCUAGAGCAUGCUGGAGAGCCUCUAGUAAGUCACACGAAGAGGGCAGGAAAAGGGGAUUCUAGGGGCUGGAGGACCUCAGGAGCAUCCAGGCAGCUGAUCCAGAUCCCAAUCAUGCAUAGUUUUCUGUCAGUAUCAGAAAAAGCAGAAAAGAAGUACUUGUGAGUCAUAAUCUCCAGAUUUGCUGUUCUGAGUCUCCACUGGGCACCCAGUCAACACCUCUGGCUCCCGUUCAAGACUAAACUGUGUGCCCCCAAAAUUCAUAUGUUGAAUUCAAAGGCCCACCCUUGGAGAGUGGGACUUUAAGAAGUAUUAAGAUUAAACGAGGUGAUAAGAAUGAGGUUCUAAUCUAGAAAGGCUGGUG
rnacentral:lncRNA from 13 species